UUAAAUUGAAGAGUUUGAUCAUGGCUCAGAUUGAAUGCUGGCGGCAGGCCUAACACAUGCAAGUCGAACGGUAACAGGAAACAGCUUGCUGUUUCGCUGACGAGUGGCGGACGGGUGAGUAA
rnacentral:rRNA from 1 species